GCGCUUUAUGUUACCUGUGACUGAGUUAAGCGUAAGUUAAAUCGUGUCACAGCGUUUCAGAUUGCAAGAAAACGACCUUGUGCGAAGAGACAAAUACCGACUUCAGGACAAUAUCUCACAAACAAACACCAUUGCAAGGGAAGGUAUCCUCGUUACACCAGAAGAUGAUAAAAGUGACAGUCAUGAGAAAGACGGUGCCACAAGCAAUUCCGGUGCCAAU